CUCCUAAGGGAGGCAGCAGUGGGGAAUAUUGGGCAAUGGGCGAAAGCUGGACCCAGCAACGCCGCGUGAAGGAUGAAGGUUUUCGGAUUGUAAACUUCUGUCGCAGGGGACGAAGAAUGACGGUACCCUGUAAGAAAGCCCCGGCUAACUACGUGCCAGCAGCCGCGGUAAUACGUAGGGGGCGAGCGUUGUCCGGAAUGACUGGGCGUAAAGGGAGUGUAGGUGGCACAGCAAGUUAUAUGUGAAAGCCCGUGGCUCAACCACGGAACUGCAUAUAAAACUGCUGAGCUAGAGUGCAGGGGAGGUAAGCGGAAUUCCUAGUGUAGCGGUGGAAUGCGUAGAUAUUAGGAGGAACACCAGAGGCGAAGGCGGCUUACUGGACUGUAACUGACACUGAGGCUCGAAAGCGUGGGGAGCAAACAGGAUUAGAUACCCUGGUAGUCCACGCCCUAAACGAUGGAUACUAGACGAAGGCGGAUUAAUUCCGUCUGUGUCGAAGCAAACGCGAUAAGUAUCCCGCCUGGGGAGUACGGCCGCAAGGUUGAAACUCAAAGAAAUUGACGGGGACCCGCACAAGCAGCGGAGCAUGUGGUUUAAUUCGAAGCAACGCGAAGAACCUUACCAAGACUUGACAUCGUAUGACCGCCAUAGAAAUAUGGAAUCUCUUCGGAGCAUAUAGACAGGUGGUGCAUGGUUGUCGUCAGCUCGUGUCGUGAGAUGUUCGGUUAAGUCCGGCAACGAGCGUAACCCCUAUUAUUAGUUGCCAAUAUUAAGUUAGGAACUCUAAUAAGACUGCCGUGGAUAACACGGAGGAAGGUGGGGAUGACGUCAAAUCAUCAUGCCCCUUACGUCUUGGGCCACACACGUGCUACAAUGGGCGCUACAGAGAGCAGCGAAAUCGCAAGGUGGAGCAAAUCUCAAAAAAGCGUUCUCAGUUCGGAUUGUGGGCUGCAACCCGCCCACAUGAAGUCGGAGUUGCUAGUAAUCCCGAAUCAGAAUGUCGGGGUGAAUGCGUUCCCGGGUCUUGUACACACCGC
rnacentral:rRNA from 1 species